rnacentral:rRNA from 1 species
CGCAUCGAUGAAGAACGUAGCGAAAUGCGAUACCUGGUGUGAAUUGCAGAAUCCCGCGAACCAUCGAGUCUUUGAACGCAAGUUGCGCCCGAGGCCAUCCGGCCAAGGGCACGCCUGCCUGGGCGUCACGCCAAAAGACGCUCCAAAACCCCCCUCUCCGGGGCG